rnacentral:rRNA from 1 species
UGGUGGAGUGAUUUGUCUGGUUAAUUCCGAUAACGAACGAGACCUUGAUGUUAUGGUACGAUGGUUAUCCUCUCGAGGAUGAUGAUCGUUCCUUGACAGACUGCAGCCGUUGUAGGUUGCGGAGGUUCGAGGCAAUAACA